rnacentral:tRNA from 1 species
GCACAGGUAACGAAGCGGUUAACGUGCCUGACUUGAGAUCAGGUGUCCAUACGGAUUCGAGGGUUCAAAUCCCUCCCUGUGCG